rnacentral:piRNA from 1 species
UAUUUUGUUUUGUUUAGGACCUUGAUAAGU